GUGGGGAAUAUUGGACAAUGGGCGAAAGCCUGAUCCAGCCAUGCCGCGUGUGUGAAGAAGGUCUUCGGAUUGUAAAGCACUUUAAGUUGGGAGGAAGGGCAGUAAGUUAAUACCUUGCUGUUUUGACGUUACCGACAGAAUAAGCACCGGCUAACUUCGUGCCAGCAGCCGCGGUAAUACGAAGGGUGCAAGCGUUAAUCGGAAUUACUGGGCGUAAAGCGCGCGUAGGUGGUUUUGUAAGUUGGAGGUGAAAUCCCCGGGCUCAACCUGGGAACUGCCUCCAAAACUGCAUGACUAGAGUACGGUAGAGGGUAGUGGAAUUUCCUGUAUAGCGGUGAAAUGCGUAGAUAUAGGAAGGAACGCCAGUGGCGAAGGCGACUACCUGGACUGAUACUGACACUGAGGUGCGAAAGCGUGGGGAGCAAACAGGAUUAGAUACCCUUGUAGUCC
rnacentral:rRNA from 1 species